rnacentral:rRNA from 1 species
GAUGAACGCUGGCGGUAUGCUUAACACAUGCAAGUCGAACGGACUCUUCGGAGUUAGUGGCGGACGGGUGAGUAACGCGUGAGAAUCUGGCUUUGGGUUCGGGACAACCACUGGAAACGGUGGCUAAUACCGGAUGUGCCGAGAGGUAAAAGAGAAAUUGCCUGAAGAUGAGCUCGCGUCUGAUUAGCUAGUUGGUGAGGUAAAGGCUCACCAAGGCAGCGAUCAGUAGCUGGUCUGAGAGGAUGACCAGCCACACUGGGACUGAGACACGGCCCAGACUCCUACGGGAGGCAGCAGUGGGGAAUGUUCCGCAAUGGGCGAAAGCCUGACGGAGCAAUACCGCGUGAGGGAAGAAGGCUCUUGGGUUGUAAACCUCUUUUCUUAGGGAAGAACGAAAUGACGGUACCUAAGGAAUCAGCAUCGGCUAACUCCGUG